rnacentral:rRNA from 1 species
GAUGAACGCUGGCGGCGUGCCUAAUACAUGCAAGUCGAGCGAACGGACGAGAAGCUUGCUUCUCUGAUGUUAGCGGCGGACGGGUGAGUAACACGUGGAUAACCUACCUAUAAGACUGGGAUAACUUCGGGAAACCGGAGCUAAUACCGGAUAAUAUUUUGAACCGCAUGGUUCAAAAGUGAAAGACGGUCUUGCUGUCACUUAUAGAUGGAUCCGCGCUGCAUUAGCUAGUUGGUAAGGUAACGGCUUACCAAGGCAACGAUGCAUAGCCGACCUGAGAGGGUGAUCGGCCACACUGGAACUGAGACACGGUCCAGACUCCUACGGGAGGCAGCAGUAGGGAAUCUUCCGCAAUGGGCGAAAGCCUGACGGAGCAACGCCGCGUGAGUGAUGAAGGUCUUCGGAUCGUAAAACUCUGUUAUUAGGGAAGAACAUAUGUGUAAGUAACUGUGCACAUCUUGACGGUACCUAAUCAGAAAGCCACGGCUAACUACGUGCCAGCAGCCGCGGUAAUACGUAGGUGGCAAGCGUUAUCCGGAAUUAUUGGGCGUAAAGCGCGCGUAGGCGGUUUUUUAAGUCUGAUGUGAAAGCCCACGGCUCAACCGUGGAGGGUCAUUGGAAACUGGAAAACUUGAGUGCAGAAGGGGAAAGUGGAAUUCCAUGUGUAGCGGUGAAAUGCGCAGAGAUAUGGAGGAACACCAGUGGCGAAGGCGACUUUCUGGUCUGUAACUGACGCUGAUGUGCGAAAGCGUGGGGAUCAAACAGG